CCUANGGGUGGCUGCAGUAAGGAAUAUUGGUCAAUGGACGCAAGUCUGAACCAGCCAUGCCGCGUGAAGGAAGACGGCCCUACGGGUUGUAAACUUCUUUUGUACGGGAAAAAACCACCGGUCGUGCAUCGGUGCUGAUGGUACCGUAAGAAUAAGCAUCGGCUAACUCCGUGCCAGCAGCCGCGGUAAUACGGAGGAUGCAAGCGUUAUCCGGAUUCAUUGGGUUUAAAGGGUGCGCAGGCGGAAUGAUAAGUCAGUGGUGAAAUCCUACGGCUCAACUGUAGAACUGCCAUUGAUACUGUCGUUCUUGAGUACACUUGGAGUGGGCGGAAUGUGUCAUGUAGCGGUGAAAUGCUUAGAUAUGACACAGAACACCGAUCGCGAAGGCAGCUCACUAAGUUGUAACUGACGCUCAGGCACGAAAGCGUGGGGAUCAAACAGGAUUAGAUACCCCANUANUC
rnacentral:rRNA from 1 species